CUUCAAGAACCAGGCGGCCAUCCACGAGGCCUACUGCGACGGCAAAUACAACGUGGUGGCGCGCUCCCCGGGGGAGCCCGACGCCACCAAGUUCGACGUCCACUUCUCCUCCAUCUUCGCGCCCUGGCACCGGAUGUACAUCUACUUCUUCGAGGGCAUCCUCGGCGAGCUCGUCGGCGACCCGGCAUUCGGCCUGCCCUACUGGAACUGGGACGCCCCCGCGGGGAUGAUGCUGCCCGCCGCGUUCACCAAUCCGGACUCGCCGCUCUACGACGCCAACCGCAAGCCGGAGAACGAACGUGGCGCCUUCAUCGACCUCAGCCUCUCGCCCAAGGUCAAGUCCGAUCCUAACAAGUUCAAAGACGACCUUCUCGGCCUCAUCGACAGCAAC
rnacentral:lncRNA from 1 species